GCCCAUCCCAGCCGUCUCCGGGCAGUAGGCGGGGGACACCCUGAAUCGGUUGCCAGCCAAUCGCAGGGCACACAGAGACAAACAACCAUUCACACUCACACUCACACUCACACCUAGGGACAAUUUAGAGCGUCCAAUCAGCCUGCCACGCAUGUUUUUGGAAUGUGGGAGGAAACCGGAGCACCCGGAGAAAACCCACGCAGGCCCGGGGAGAACAUGCAAACUCCACACAGGGAGGGCCGGAGCUGGAAUCGAACCCGGUACCUCUGCACUAUGAAGCCCACGUGCUAACCACUGGACUAGCGGGCCGCCGCCUCUACGGCAUGACAAACCGAAAUAGAAAUUAAAGAGACGAAAGCUAUUUUGCGCUUCUUUUCAACGGCCAUUGUUCUUGUUCUCAAUUGUGGUGGUGUCCUCUUCACCGCGUUUCCGAUGUUGUCUCGGCUUCAGCUCGUGUUGGACUGUGAUUGGUGUUCCAUCCAGCAGCUUUUCAAUCGCUCCUCUGGUGCGCGUGUUGGUUCAAGUCCAACCUUGGAAGUGGGCCGAGCCUACGGCAUCGGUUGAAUAAUUGGUCCAAUUAAAAAAAAAAAAAAAAAAAAGUUGCAUAUCUGGAAGCCGGCCUCGCUGUAAAUUUUGGACACGCUUGUAAAAAAAAAGAUAAUUAGUGAGGCGUAACGCCGCAUCUGCAUGUUAGCUCAGUAAAAAAAAAAAAAAAGUGGAGGUAUAAAAGAAAUAAUAAGAAUAAAUGUCAGUUUGCCAUCCAGUUGCCAAGCAACUAAUGGGAGGCUAGUGACAAAAACCCGAAAAAGACAAAAGUGCCAUUUUUGCUGGAUGAAUUAUGCUUUCACCUGACACCUGUUUCAUUUCAACAGCCUUUUCUCACCUUUUGUUUUGGGGGGGGCGGGGAUUAUUAAAUUUACCGCUAAUCAUUGAGUUGAAAAGCUAGCUAAUUGGAGACUCUUUCGUUCAUUCAUCACAAAGCGGCAACGUGACGCAGGUUCAUCGUCGUAUUUGUUAAAAGACGAACCUUUAAUCAUGUUUGGAUUUCAUAGAUGAGGAGGAAUUCGAAAACAUUGCCCACCGCCCGUUUAGGCGGACGCCUGUUUGGAUGCUACGUAAAGGGCACGUUAAUUGUCUAAUCUUCCCCCCUGCCCCCAAGGAAUUCAUAGAAAUUUCAGCCCCUAACGACGGUUUCACUUAGCAACAAGAGAUUUGGUCAGGUAGCACCCCCUCGAUUUUUCUUCUUGUUUUUAUAUACAAAAAAAGAAAAAAUCCAGUUUCACUUUUAAACAUGAUAUUUGGUGGACACUCCUAUCAUGAGGAAACCCACCAAAAAGUCUGGAGAAGCCGUAUCACAACUUCCACAGGAGGUCGUCAAAUUUGGUUCGGACAGAUACUGACAUGCUAACGCUAGCACGGGCUACUAAGCCAAAUUUAGCAUCCUGUUGGAAAGGACCCGUUUGGAGCCAAGGUGUCACUUUUUUUGGCAGUUUUAUCCAAAAUUGGUCAGGUAGCACACCUUCGAUUUUUCUUCUUGUUUUUUAUAUACCAAAAAAAAUCCAGUUUCACUUUUAAACAUGACAUUUGGUGGACACGCCUAUCAUGAGGAAACCCACCAAAAAGUCUGUAGAAGCCGUACCACAACUUCCACAGGAGGUCGUCAAAUUUGGUUCGGACAGAUACUGACAUGCUAACGCUAGCACGGGCUACUAAGCCAAAUUUAGCAUCCUGUUGGAAAAGGACCCGCGCAGCUCACGUGACUUUUGACUUCAGCGGCAGCCAAAAUGAAAAUACGGUUUUCGCUGAGGGGGGAAUUCCAGUCCGAAAAUAAACGGAAAAGCAUCGCGUUUCCUCUUGCGCAAAGGCCGUCGGCUCCUUUCGCAUCUCGAGUUCACAAACUCCAGCGGGGCCUUUUGUGCGUUUAAAAAAAAAUAAUAAUAAUUUGAGUUCAGUUGAUGCUGCCGGUGUUUAUUUUUGUGUUUGAAGUUAGCUUUUGAUGCCUGUUGCUGCUCUGAGACGUCGUACAGCAAAAAAAAAUCAUCAAAAA